UACGGGGGGGAGCAAGUGUUGUUCGGAUUUACUGGGCGUAAAGGGCGGGUAGGCGGCCACCGCAAGUCAGUUGUGAAAUCUCCGGGCUUAACCCGGAAAGGUCAACUGAUACUGCGGGGCUAGAGUGCAGAAGGGGCAACUGGAAUUCUCGGUGUAGCGGUGAAAUGCGUAGAUAUCGGGAGGAACACCAAUGGCGAAGGCAGCUCGCUGGGACGUGACUGACGCUGAGACGCGGAAAGCGUGGGGGAGCAAACAGG
rnacentral:rRNA from 1 species